UUCUUUUUUUUUUUUCCUUUUUUGCGCUGUGUCCGGGGCCGGGGGGGCUAUGCACGCCAGCCGGGUGAUGGUCACCCCAGGCCGUGCUCCCCCCGCAGCCGUGCCCCGCCGGGGGCUGCGGGACCCCGCGUGUCCCCCCCAAUCCCGGGGACGGGGCCGGAGGAGCGGCGGGCGCAGCGGCUGGACCGGCGGCCCCGGGCGGGCGGACGAGCCCCGGUGAUGCAGAGGUGGCUGCCCGCAGACGUACAAGGCGUUUCAGAGUCCGGAGCGGAGCGCGGCGUCCUCGAGGGCUGGAGCCUGCCCAGGGGUCAGGUCGGGAUGCAGAGGCAUGGGCCAGAGCAGAGCCGUGGUGGGUGGAUGAGAAGUUGCAUAAAGCAGCUUUUCUUUCCACGUGAGCACUGGUGGAAGCCACGGAGAACACGGGCUCUGUUCAUCCUCAAAGCCAGAGCGGCGUGGACACCUCCUGUCCAGCAUCCCCGUGCCCAGCCUGGGUUGGGGUUUGCUUUGGGGCACGCUUGGAGCUGAGAGCAGACCUGGAGGGACAGAGCCGUGCUUGGAGGUGGCUGUGGAGGUGCUGUGCCAGGGCUGGGAGCUGGAGCCCUGCGGGAGGAGCAGCUGGAGCGGUGACACGGAGCGGCCGGGAUGGCACCGGGGUGUGGAGCUGCCCCUGGGGUGGCACCAUGAGCACAGCCCCAGCAGAGCCCACACUGCCCUGGUGUGGAGUUCACCUCCAGCCACUCCGAGCACAAGUGACAAGAGGUCCUGGAUGAGGUGAGUGGAGAAGGGCAAAGACCUCAAGGCGCCAAAGCCAGAAGAGUGUGGGCAAGCACCCGAGGCACUGCAGUGGCUGGGAAUGCCACGAAUGGGAGUGGACUUUCCUCUGGAUAAUGGCUGAGGUGCUGCUGCUGCCUCUGCCCUGGCCAUGGAUUGGUGUGUGGUGCAAAUCCUCCAGCAGCAAAUCCUCCAGCAGCUCCGGUUCCAGCUCCAGCAGCGAUACGCCGACGUCUUCCUCGCCACACCAGGACACCCGGCCUUGGCUGGCCACCAGUGACCCCGUGGGAAGUGCCCAGUGUCACCAUGGCUGUGGUUUCCCUCUGCAGUGUCUGACAGCCCAGCACAAACUGACAAACCCCGGUGCUGGGGCUGAGCACGGCGCAGUGUGGCAGCGAUCCCGCUCCUUCCUGCAGGCCCGGGUCACAGUUCCCUCUGUUUGUUGUGGUGAAUAACUGCAGAGUGCUGCUCCUUACACACAGACAUUUCAGCUGAACCUCACGGAGAGCACAGGGGAGGCGCUGAGCUGGCAGCUCCGUGUUCAGAGCAGGCUCCUGGAGCUCAGUCCCAGUGACAGAGAUUUGCACAGCCCGGUGUGUUUUCUGAAGGUGUUCGUGGGAAUCUCCAGGAGCAGCUUUGCCGUGACUCCAUCCCACCUUGCAGCGUGUGCAGGGGGACAGGACAGGAGGAUGUGACCCACAGGGAGGUGCCUUUGCCAAAGGUGACAGUGGAACCUGACCCUGUGCUGUCAGAGCUGACCCCGACGGGCUGAGCAGAGCUGGACAGGACACCCGACACUGUGCAGGUGCAAUGCGACCUCUUCCAACACCUUGUGCUCCCAAAAUUCAUGGAUCACCCCUCCUGGCCUGGCAAAAUUCGGAAGGAGAUGAAGGAUGCAGCAUCCUGGGCAUCUGGUGGCUUCUGGGGCUUGGUUGACCCUUCCUGCAGAGACCUCCGUGAGCAGAGAACCAAAACGGCCUUUUCUGUGUCCCUGCAGCUGCAAGGGGCUGUGCCAGUGCCCCCACAGCACUCCAGGGUGCAGCCGUGGCAGAGGGAGACGCUGCUGCACCACAGACGGGACCAGUGGGAGCCUGAGGUCCCAGUGCCACCUCUCCAUGAGCAGCUCCUGCAGGAGGGGUGGCUGGGGGCUCUGAGAGUGGAUGGGAGAGAGAUGGGGACUGUUAAAGGUCUGUCCUGCUGAACCCUCGCUGUCUUCUCUGCACAUCCUGGCACCCAAAAGAUUUGCUGUGUUUUUCUCUCUGGAUGAGAAGGAUGGGGCUGCUCAUCACCGAGGAUGGCGUCCUGGAGCAGAGCUGUAAAAGGGACUCCUUGUUUCUGCUGGAGCAGUGCUGCCUUUGUGGGGUUUUGUUCCCGUUCCCUGCACAGCCCUGGUGACGGUUCCCCUUGGAGGUGAGAAGAGCCAUGUUCUGGGCACAAUGGAAAUGGAGCCUAAAGCCCUUCCUUCCUUCUGGGCUUCCCUCUGGACUGGUUUUGUGUUGGGAACAACUGGGACGGAUGGGGCUGGCUGGGUGCCCGCUCCUCUGGCUGCAGAGAUGGGCUCUGGCCCCUUUGCUCUGCAGUAAUUCCCAAACUUUUCCAAGCUGCUGGCACAGAAAUCCUGCAGCACCGGGGCAGCUUGGGGGGUUCCAGCACCAGGACUCGGCAUCUCUCACCUGCUCUUUGGGAUGACCCCGAGCCCUCCUGGCCGUGGGGGAAGCCCUGGGGGCACUGGGUCGGUCCUGCUGGGUUUGGGGACUGGCUCUGAGCACCAGCACACGCUCCAGGUGAGUUUGGGGGAGAUGGGAGGGCAGGGCUGGCAGCUCUGGGGUGUUCUGUGAGAGCUCAGCACCACAACCAGGUCUGGGCACAGCCCCCUGGGCUUUGAUCACACCCCAGAUUGCCAUAAAGCCCACCAGGGCAGGAUGGGCUCUGGGGGACAGGAGCGUUCUGUCCGUGGUGCCAGGGAUGCUGCUGGCACCCCGGGCUGGCCCUGCUCAUCCCUGCUGCCGCUGGGAGCAGCCCUUUCAUCUCCGGGGAGGUACAAAUGGAGCUGUCAGAUGCCAUCAGCCCUGCGAUAUGACAGGUUGUGGGGCCGGGGCCCCUCGAACAGAGCAGCCUUGUCUGUCAGAGCCGCCUGACACUCCCCAUAAUGGCCAGAUGGAUGAGACUCUGAAAGUAGGGCCCGGCGCGUUUUCAACUCUAUUUUGGGUGAAAACACUUCUUGAAAGAUCUUGAAAGGAGCUGGCAGUUUGGUAGUUCAAAUGAUUAAUGAGCACUGGCUCUGCCGGGUGGAUUUCUCGCGCCGUGCCAGCAGCUGGGCCGCUCCAGCGGGCCAAGACACGCCGCGCUCCCCCCGCGCCCCCGGCCCCCCUGGCCUUCCCGGAAAUGACACCAACGCGACAGGCCCUGCAUAUGGAAAAAGUUAAAUAUAAAUUACUGCUGAAAGAGGCCUCGCUGAGCGGAGUUAGUUAAAGAUGUUUAUGGAUUCAGAAACACGGGCCUGCAUAUGUAUUUAGGGAUGACAAAUGUGAUUCAAUAAGUCAGGAAUUUCUCCGUGGGCUGAGGCGGGACCCGCGCGGCGCGGGCGCUGCUCUGGGCUCUCCAGCUCUGGGCCGUAAAUCCUGCAGACAGGCUCCUUGUUCCUUCCCGGCCUGCUUGGGAUUGAUUUUCGCCUUUUCCCUGGAUCAGAGCAGGAGAUGCUGUGUUUGGGAUGUGACAGCUCUGCUCCCUCCAUGGGUGUGCCCUGGGGGGGUUUGGGGGGCUUGGGAAAAACCCACUGGAUGUUCUGUGGGGUCACAGCACCAUCCACACUGCCACCAGUGCCAGUCCCUGAGCUCUCUGUCCCCCCAGAGCUGCUCUGGGAGCAGCCAGACCCUUCAGGAGUGUCAGGAGAUUAUUAACGACCAACAACUCCAGAACUGCCCGAUCGCAAGUUUGGGGUUUGAGCCCCCAAUUGUGCAGCUCCCACCCAAACUGCCCCCUGUUCCUGCUGCUCUUGGGGUGCACAUCAGGGACCACAACAAACCGAAGCAGGAAACCCCUAAAACAACUCCAGCUGCUGUGGUGGGUGCCCAGCAGGGAUGGCAGGUCCUGGCAGGGAUGGCAGGUCCUGGCAGGGAUGGCAGGGAUGCCAGCUUUGGGGUGACAACCCCCAGCAAACCUGCAGCACUGGGCAGUGCAGGAACCAGCCCUUGGCUCCCCUCAUCCCACACCUCUGUGAGGCUCAGGGGGAAAUGCCUUUGGGGGGUCAGCGCCCGGCCAGGCCUUGGACCCGCAUCCACAUUCCUUUGUCCUGAUUUUAUUCGUUAGCAACAUUUGGCCUGGAUAUGGAGACAGCUAAUGAGGGACGGAGUUUAUUGCAGUUUGAUUUUUCUGUUAAAACAAUACAAUAAAAUAAAUGCACUUGGAAAUCUG